rnacentral:tRNA from 1 species
GUCAGUGUGGCCGAGUGGUUAAGGCGAUUGACUCGAACUCUCCUUCGGGACAAAUUCGUUAUCAAUUCCGUUCGCGGGCGCAUGUUCGAAUCAUGCCGCUGACG